rnacentral:rRNA from 1 species
CUUGAACUUUAUAAGAGGUCCAGCCUGCCCAGUGACUCUGUUCAACGGCCGCGGUAUCCUAACCGUGCGAAGGUAGCGUAAUCACUUGUUCUUUAAAUGUGGACUAGUAUGAAUGGCACUACGAGGGUUAUACUGUCUCCUUUUUCUAAUCAGUGAAACUAAUUUUCCCGUGAAGAAGCGGGAAUAUAACUAUAAGACGAGAAGACCCUAUGGAGCUUUAAACAACCCAGCAAUUAUUUCUAAAAUUUUAAAUUUCAGAAUAUUUAUUCUUUAAGUAAUAUGUCUGCAAGUUUUUGGUUGGGGUGACCAUGGAGAAUAACAUAACCUCCAUAUUGAAUGAAUUCCCUUCUAAGCUGAAAAUUACCAAUUGAAGCAUCAACACACUGACAUCUAUUGACCCA